UACGUAGGGGGCAAGCGUUGUCCGGAUUUAUUGGGCGUAAAGAGCGUGUAGGCGGCCAGGCAAGUCUGCUGUGAAAACUCGAGGCUCAACCUCGAGCUGUCGGUGGAAACUGUCUGGCUAGAGUCCGGAAGAGGAGAGUGGAACUCCUGGUGUAGCGGUGAAAUGCGCAGAUAUCAGGAAGAACACCUAUGGCGAAGGCAGCUCUCUGGGACGGUACUGACGCUGAGACGCGAAAGCGUGGGGAGCGAACAGG
rnacentral:rRNA from 1 species